UUCUUGAACUCAUGCCCUGUGUCUGCCCAGUUAUUGGAAAAACGUUGGUUGGUUACUGUGGGCCAGGCAUGGUACCACAUGCUGGGGCAUUUUCCUCUUGGAGCUGUGUUAAUGACUUCCAUAGUGUUGCCAGCAGCCCCUUUAUCAUCUGUAAGAUACCGUCCAAACUCCUUUGCAUAUCAUGUGAUGGAUGUGGACACACUGUACUAGGCCCUGAGAGUGGAACCCUUACAUCCAUAAACUACCCACAGACCUAUCCCAACAGCACUGUCUGUGAAUGGGAGAUCCGUGUAAAGAUGGGAGAGAGAGUUCGCAUCAAAUUUGGUGACUUUGACAUUGAAGAUUCUGAUUCUUGUCACUUUAAUUACUUGAGAAUUUAUAAUGGAAUUGGAGUCAGCAGAACUGAAAUAGGCAAAUACUGUGGUCUGGGGUUGCAAAUGAACCAUUCAAUUGAAUCAAAAGGCAAUGAAAUCACAUUGCUGUUCAUGAGUGGAAUCCAUGUUUCUGGACGCGGAUUUUUGGCCUCAUACUCUGUUAUAGAUAAACAAGAUCUAAUUACUUGUUUGGACACUGCAUCCAAUU
rnacentral:sRNA from 1 species